AGUGAACGCUGGCGGUAUGCCUAACACAUGCAAUUCGAACGAGUGGGGGACGGGUGCGGAAUACAUCGGAAUCUACUCUGUCGUGGGGGAUAACGAAGGGAAACUUACGCUAAUCACGCAUACGAGUGACUUCGCCGAUUUCGGAUUAGCUAGUUGGAGGGGUAAAGGCCCACCAAGGCGACGAUCCGUAGCGGGUCUGAGAGGAUGCUCAGCCACACUGGAACGGAGACACGGUCCAGACUCCUACGGGAGGCAGCAGUGGGGAAGAUUGGACAAUGGGCGCAAGCCUGAUCCAGCCAUGCCGCGUGUGUGAAGAAGGUCUUCGGGUUGUAAAGCCCUUUUAGUUGGGAGGCGUUACCCAAAGAAUAAGCACCGGCUAACUUCGUGCCAGCAGCCGCGGUAAUUC
rnacentral:rRNA from 1 species